AGUGAACGCUGGCGGUAGGCCUAACACAUGCAGGUCGAACGGCAGCACAGUAAGAUCUUGCUCUUACGGGUGGCGAGUGGCGGACGGGUGAGGAAUACAUCGGAAUCUACUUUUUCGUGGGGGAUAACGUAGGGAAACUUACGCUAAUACCGCAUACGACCUACGGGUGAAAGCAUGGGAUCUUCGGACCUUGCGCGAUUGAAUGAGCCGAUGUCGGAUUAGCUAGUUGGCGGGGUAAAGGCCCACCAAGGCGACGAUCCGUAGCUGGUCUGAGAGGAUGAUCAGCCACACUGGAACUGAGACACGGUCCAGACUCCUACGGGAGGCAGCAGUGGGGAAUAUUGGACAAAGGGCGCAAGCCUGAUCCAGCCAUACCGCGUGGGUGAAGAAGGCCUUCGGGUUGUAAAGCCCUUUUGUUGGGAAAGAAAAGCAGCAGGUUAAUACCCCGCUGUUCUGACGGUACCCAAAGAAUAAGCACCGGCUAACUUCGUG
rnacentral:rRNA from 1 species